rnacentral:rRNA from 1 species
AUCGAUGAAGAACGCAGCGAAAUGCGAUAAGUAAUGUGAAUUGCAGAAUUCAGUGAAUCAUCGAAUCUUUGAACGCACCUUGCGCCCUCUGGUAUUCCGGAGGGCAUGCCUGUUUGAGUGUCUUGAUAUCAUCAAUCCCCUCGGGUUCGCGCCCGUUGCGGUUUGGAGUUGGGGGUUUUGCUGCCGUGAGGCGGCUCCCCUUAAAAUCAUCGGUUUGGCCCGUAUCAUGCGGCUAGCACCUUUGGCGUUGUAUUUUCCUCGCCUUUGAUCGGUCUUGCUCGCUUCCGCGCCUCACUUCGACUUGCCCUCUGGGUGGCGGUCACUUCUUGACAAUCUGGCCUCAAAUCAGGUAGGACUACCCGCUGAACUUAAGCAUAUCAAUAAGCGGAGGAAAAGAAACUAACAAGGAUUCCCCUAGUAACUGCGAGUGAAGCGGGAAAAGCUCAAAUUUGAAAUCUGGCGGUUUCUGCCGUCCGAGUUGUAUUCUGGAGAAGCGUUUUCCGUGCUGGACCGUGUACAAGUGCCUUGGAACAGGCCGUCAUAGAGGGUGAGAAUCCCGUCUUUGACACGGACUGCCAGUGCUCUGUGAUGCGCUCUCGAAGAGUCGAGUUGUUUGGGAAUGCAGCUCAAAAUGGGUGGUAAAUUCCAUCUAAAGCUAAAUAUUGGCGAGAGACCGAUAGCGAACAAGUACCGUGAGGGAAAGAUGAAAAGCACUUUGGAAAGAGAGUAAAACAGUACGUGAAAUUGUUGAAAGGGAAACGCUUGAAGUCAGUCGCGUCUUCUGGAACUCAGCCUUGCUUUUGCUUGGUGCAUUUUCCAGUCUGACGGGCCAGCAUCGGUUUUGGCGGGGCAGACAAAGGCGGGGGGAAGGUGGCCGCUCCGGCGGUGUUAUAGCCCCCCGUUGCAUGUGUCCCCUGGGACCGAGGAAUCCGGCGCAAGCCUGGGAUGCUGGCGUAAUGGCUUUAAACGACCCGUCUUGAAACACGG